UGUGGGGGAAAGGAACCUGAACAGAGAACUCUUCAAGUUCAAAUUGCUGCAGAAGCAAAGGAUACCAAUUACAACUUUGUCAUCAAAAAACCAAGUGCAAACCUCCUACGGCACCCAUCAAAAUGAACAAGAUUAUCAUCUAUGAGCAUGCAAACUUCCAGGGUUGCUGCAAAGAGAUCACCUCUGAUAUCUGCAACCUGACAUGUUUCAACUGGAAUGACUGUGUCUCCUCUGUGAAGGUUUUUGGACAGCCCUGGGUUGCCUAUGAGCAUGAGAAUUUUAGAGGCAAGCUUGUGGUCUUUGAGGAAGGACAAUAUGCUUAUGUUGGUAAUGUUAUGAAUGACAGGAUCACUUCUCUCCAGCUGAUUACUGAAGACCUAAGUAAUCCCCAGAUCACACUUUAUGAACACGUGGAUUAUCAAGGUUGCUCCAGGGUGGUGAGAGAACCAACCAACUUUGCUAGGGAAUGUUUCAAUGACCAAGUGUCUUCCCACAAAGUCCAGAGGGGUGCCUGGCUCUUGUGUGAGCACUGUGAUGGAAGUGGCUUUCGUUACAUUGCUCGGGCACAUGAAAACCUUCCACACUAUGGGGUUAUGUGUUUCAAUGACAAACUUACAUUUAUCCGUCCUCUGUAUCCUGGGGGACACUGCUACUGACAGGCUGCACGGCCUGCCAUCAUGGAGAACCCUGGGGUAGGAAGUCUUUCUCCCUGAGAGAGAAGACAUUCCUUCAUAUGUCACAGAAGCAGCAUGUGUUAGAAAGCUGCACUGAGCCUGCACUGUGCACCAUAGUUUUGUUUCCUAACACUUACUUUAAGGCUUGGCUAAGACUUUUUCAAGGGACUCAGCUUUGCAUUCAACUUUUUGCUGCAUGACUGUAGGCUAUAUCCAGGACACUCCUUCUGCCCCCAGACACUUGAUGCAGCUCUGAUUACAAGAUGUAUUCAGGAGCCUCCUGGCCUGAAACUACUGCUGCUUUUCCAUUUGACCCAUUCUUUCUCAAUUUCUCUUUAUGUCCUUGUUGUAACCAGCCAGCUUACCCUAUGACCUCUCUGAUGUACUCUGGCCUAAGCCCUAAUAGUUAUAAGUCUGUUAGAAAAUAAACAAACAAGGCAACACUCAUUUAAUUGGAAGUGUAAGACAGGGGAAAUGAUUUACCACCCUAGAGAAAUUCUUGAACUGGCCCUGGACCCAGCUGAUUCAUUAUAAUCCAAAAACAGAAUGAUUAUCCAUAUUGAUACAAUACAGGAAGUCAACAAAAGAAGUUGAUCUUCAGAGAGUGAAAGAAUUCCAGCAUUUAAAGUGUCAGGUAGUGGGAAAGAGGAUAAGGAUUGAUUCAACCUCUUUAUAGGUAUGGGAACUUGAACACUGCAUAGAAUCAUGAGGGGAUAAACGAACAACGCACCAAAAGUUAAAAAAAAAUGUUGAAGAGUUGCAUCUCCUGAUGAUGAUUUCUCCCCAGACACUUAUUCCUGUCCCAGUGAAAGAGGCUGAUAUCUCAGCAUUGGUGGGGUUCAUUACCAGUGGGCUGUGAGAAGGACAAAGAAGGCCUGCCCACUGAAGCAUGUUUCUAGAGUGUAAUCCAAAACCAGAUGUAAGCUCCAGCUCUAAUGGAUUUGCCAAACCCACUGCAUUAUAUAUUCCCCAUCCUCCCUGAAACAUUCAUCUCUGCUUCUGAGGAAAAAAAAAAGUUAUUUUCUUUUGCUAACAUUGAUGCAUUAUAAAUGUAUGUGGUCUAAUCAA